AGUGAAAUCCAGGUAUCGCCUGACCUACAGCAAUUAUGAAUAACUCAACGUCAGUGACGUAGUUAAACCUAAAUGGCCUGAAUCGACAAGAAGCCUCAGAGAAUGUCGCUGAUUGACAAUUGAGUUUGCUCAUACCUGAUACAUGAUCAUAGGCCAGCCACCGUUAAAAUAUCUCCAAAAAUAUUUUGUUCACUUCUAUUUACAGAGGGAUAUGUCAGGGGGGUUUACCUUGGAAAGUGCGUAAAAGUCUAACAAUCCUAUGAACGCAUAGGAGUUGAUCCCAGACAUCGUCGUCUAGAUUUCAAUGUUUUCAAUGUCUUCGGACGACGGUUCGAGUUUUAGUGAUAUGAGUACGGAUGCUUCCUCACAAAUUUCGGAGGAACAAUCCGGCAGCAGACCCUUCAGGAAACGAAUUUAUGGAAUAACCGUCAAACAUGUUAGUGGCGCUAUUGCUGUUAGGUCCCACGCAAAAGCGCGGA